GGGACUUGGGCUAGAACCUGGUAGGAUCUUGAGCUCUGGCUUAUGGAGGUUGGCCCAGUGGGAUGGUGAUGGCUUGGGGACAUGGUGAGAAAGACCUCUGUGACCGUGCCUGCUUCCUCUCGGCUCCAUUAGCUAUGUCGAUAUGUGGUGUGAGCUCCAGCGGUGGCUCUGAGGACUCCCUGCCCUCAUUUCUGUGUAUCUGGCUCUGGCUCAGCACGUCUCUCUGUAUCUGUGUCCUGGUCUCUGUCUCUCUCUGCACACCGCCCCUAUCUGUUUCUUCAUGUCUCCGAGUGUCUCCAUCUCUCUCUCAGUUUCUGUCCACUCAUCUAAGAGGUCGGUGGGAUGAGCAGCCCUGGGCCACUACUGCACUCCCCAUCCCAAGCCCGUCACACCUUGUGUCUACACUGGCCUCAGUGUCUCUAGUGGGGCCCGGCUGUAUAGUGCAUCACCACCAGUAUGAAGACACUUCAGAGCGAUCCUGGACUAGCUGGAAAGACUUUAGUCGUCACCGCUUGUCUUUAUGUUCACCCCCUCAGGUAGGAAAUGGAGGAGAUGGAGCGAUGAUUUUAGGGACACAAGAUGCUGAACUGGCCCAGGCACCACAUCUCUCUCUUCCUGGGAGUCCAGUCGUACUUCAG
rnacentral:lncRNA from 1 species